rnacentral:miRNA from 12 species
UGAUGUGGGGGGGGGGGGGGGGGGGGGGGGGGGGGGGGGGGGGGGGGGGGGGGCCGGGUGACCUCGGCUCCCGCCACCGCCCAG